AAAUGGUAUCAGAGCCAACCCUGUUUUAGAGAUCUCAUAGUAUUACCAGUUUUGUUAUCUUAAGAAACUUAAGAAAUUUAUCCAUUAGAGAAAGUUGGUCCGAGUGUUAAGACACGAGACGAAAAAGUCUUAUGCAAAGUACCGCCAAGGCCGAGGAAGAGCCGCUAGGGAAAACGCUGGACUUUUGGUCGUCCUGAGU
rnacentral:lncRNA from 1 species